UACGGAGAGUGCAAGCAUUAAUCGGAAUUAUUGGGCGUAAAGGGCGCGUAGGCUGUUAGAUAAGUCAGAUGUGAAAUUCCAAAGCUCAACUUUGGAGCUGCAUUUGAAACUAUCUGUCUAGAGGGUUGACGGAGAAAACGGAAUUCCACGUGUAGCGGUGAAAUGCGUAGAUAUGUGGAAGAACACCAGUGGCGAAAGCGGUUUUCUAGUUAAUACCUGACGCUGAGGCGCGAGAGCAAGGGGAGCAAACAGG
rnacentral:rRNA from 1 species